UUGACUGAGCGGCGCACGGGUGAGUAACGCGUAUGCAACCUGCCCGAUACCGGGGUAUAGCCCAUGGAAACGUGGAUUAACACCCCAUAGUACUUUUAUCCUGCCUAGGAUGGGAGUUAAAUGUUCAAGGUAUCGGAUGGGCAUGCGUCCUAUUAGUUAGUUGGCGGGGUAACAGCCCACCAAGACGAUGAUAGGUAGGGGUUCUGAGAGGAAGGUCCCCCACAUUGGAACUGAGACACGGUCCAA
rnacentral:rRNA from 1 species